GGCCCGUUGGUCAAGCGGUUUAAGACUCCGGCCUCUCACGCCGGCAACAUGGGUUCGAAUCCCGUACGGGUCA
rnacentral:tRNA from 1 species